rnacentral:rRNA from 1 species
UUGAUCCUGGCUCAGAUUGAACGCUGGCGGAAUGCUUUACACAUGCAAGUCGAACGGCAGCACGGGUGCUUGCACCUGGUGGCGAGUGGCGAACGGGUGAGUAAUGCAUCGGAACGUACCGAGUAAUGGGGGAUAACGCAGCGAAAGUUGUGCUAAUACCGCAUACGCCCUGAGGGGGAAAGUGGGGGAUUCGCAAGAACCUCACGUUAUUCGAGCGGCCGAUGUCUGAUUAGCUAGUUGGUGGGGUAAAGGCCUACCAAGGCGACGAUCAGUAGCGGGUCUGAGAGGAUGAUCCGCCACACUGGGACUGAGACACGGCCCAGACUCCUACGGGAGGCAGCAGUGGGGAAUUUUGGACAAUGGGGGCAACCCUGAUCCAGCCAUUCCGCGUGAGUGAAGAAGGCCUUCGGGUUGUAAAGCUCUUUCAGUUGGAACGAAAACGGUACGCUCUAACAUAAGCGUGCUAAUGACGGUACCGACAGAAGAAGCACCGGCUAACUACGUGCCAGCAGCCGCGGUAAUACGCAGGGGUGCGAGCGUUAAUCGGAAUUACUGGGCGUAAAGCGUGCGCAGGCGGAUUGUUAAGCAAGAUGUGAAAUCCCCGGGCUUAACCUGGGAAUGGCAUUUUGAACUGGCAGUCUAGAGUGCGUCAGAGGGGGGUGGAAUUCCACGUGUAGCAGUGAAAUGCGUAGAUAUGUGGAGGAACACCAAUGGCGAAGGCAGCCCCCUGGGAUGACACUGACGCUCAUGUACGAAAGCGUGGGUAGCAAACAGGAUUAGAUACCCUGGUAGUCCACGCCCUAAACGAUGUCAACUGGUUGUUGGGGGAGUGAAAUCCCUUAGUAACGAAGCUAACGCGUGAAGUUGACCGCCUGGGGAGUACGGUCGCAAGAUUAAAACUCAAAGGAAUUGACG